rnacentral:rRNA from 1 species
CUACGGGGCGCAGCAGUGAGGAAUAUUGCACAAUGGGGGGAACCCUGAUGCAGCAACGCCGCGUGGAGGAUGACGCAUUUCGGUGUGUAAACUCCUUUUAUAUGUCAAGAAAAUGACGGUAGCAUAUGAAUAAGCACCGGCUAACUCCGUGCCAGCAGCCGCGGUAAUACGGAGGGUGCAAGCGUUACUCGGAAUCACUGGGCGUAAAGGACGCGUAGGCGGGUUGGAAAGUCAGGUGUGAAAUCCUACAGCUUAACUGUAGAACUGCAAUUGAAACUUCUAAUCUAGAGUAUGGGAGGGGGAGAUGGAACUAGUGGUGUAGGGGUAAAAUCCGUAGAUAUCACUAGGAAUACCUAAAGCGAAGGCGAUCUCCUGGAACAUUACUGACGCUAAGGCGUGAAAGCGUGGGGAGCAAACAGGAUUAGAUACCCGGGUAGUC